rnacentral:rRNA from 1 species
CCUACGGGAGGCAGCAGUGAGGAAUAUUGGUCAAUGGGAGAGAUCCUGAACCAGCCAAGCCGCGUGAGGGAAGACGGCCCUAUGGGUUGUAAACCUCUUUUGUCGGAGAACAAAACCCGGGACGUGUCCCCGACUGCGUGUAUCCGACGAACAAGCAUCGGCUAACUCCGUGCCAGCAGCCGCGGUAAUACGGAGGAUGCGAGCGUUAUCCGGAUUUAUUGGGUUUAAGGGGAGCGUAGGUGGAUUGUUAAGUCAGUUGUGAAAGUUUGCGGCUCAACCGUAAAAUUGCAGUUGAAACUGGCAGUCUUGAAUACAGUAGAGGUGGGCGGAAUUCGUGGUGUAGCGGUGAAAUGCUUAGAUAUCACGAAGAACUCCGAUUGCGAAGGCAGUUCACUGGACUGCAACUGACACUGAGGCUCGAAAGUGUGGGUAUCAAACAGGAUUAGAUACCCCAGUAGUC